UAUAUACUCCCUCCGUCCCAAAAUUCUUGUCUUAGAUUCGUCUAGAUAUGGAUGUAAAACGCGACUUGAUACAUCCGUAUUUAGACAAAUCUAAGACAAGAAUUUUGGGACGGAGGGAGUAUUAA
rfam:Triticum aestivum genome assembly, contig: Triticum_aestivum_CS42_TGACv1_scaffold_019554_1AS